rnacentral:rRNA from 1 species
ACGCACGCUGGCGGCAGGCCUAACCCAUGCAAGUCGCGCGGACCUUUCGGGGUCAGCGGCGGACGGGUGAGUAACGCGUGGGAAUAUGCCCUUCUCUACGGAAUAGUCCUGGGAAACUGGGGGUAAUACCGUAUACGCCCUUUGGGGGAAAGAUUCAUCGGGGAAGGAUUAGCCCGCGUUGGAUUAGGUAGUUGGUGGGGUAAUGGCCUACCAAGCCGACGAUCCAUAGCUGGUUUGAGAGGAUGAUCAGCCACACUGGGACUGAGACACGGCCCAGACUCCUACGGGAGGCAGCAGUGGGGAAUCUUAGACAAUGGGGGCAACCCUGAUCUAGCCAUGCCGCGUGAGUGAUGAAGGCCUUAGGGUUGUAAAGCUCUUUCAGCUGGGAAGAUAAUGACGGUACCAGCAGAAGAAGCCCCGGCUAACUCCGUG